rnacentral:rRNA from 1 species
GGUGCCUGCGGAAGGAUCAUUACCUAGAGUUUGCAGACUUCGGUCUGCUACCUCUUACCCAUGUCUUUUGAGUACCUUCGUUUCCUCGGCGGGUCCGCCCGCCGGUUGGACAACAUUCAAACCCUUUGCAGUUGCAAUCAGCGUCUGAAAAAACAUAAUAGUUACAACUUUCAACAACGGAUCUCUUGGUUCUGGCAUCGAUGAAGAACGCAGCGAAAUGCGAUAAGUAGUGUGAAUUGCAGAAUUCAGUGAAUCAUCGAAUCUUUGAACGCACAUUGCGCCCCUUGGUAUUCCAUGGGGCAUGCCUGUUCGAGCGUCAUUUGUACCUUCAAGCUCUGCUUGGUGUUGGGUGUUUUGUCUCGCCUCCGCGUGUAGACUCGCCUUAAAACAAUUGGCAGCCGGCGUAUUGAUUUCGGAGCGCAGUACAUCUCGCGCUUUGCACUCAUAACGACGACGUCCAAAAGUACAUUUUUACACUCUUGACCUCGGAUCAGGUAGGGAUACCCGCUGAACUUAAGCAUAUCAAAAACCCGGAGGAA